CUCAAGGGCACCCAGGGAAGAAAAGGUGCAAAUAUGAGUCAGCCUUUCCUAACAGCUUCACAGCAGGGCUGUAUUCAAGCCGUCCUCUGAUAAUUAAUGGGUAGAGGUGUGAAAGGGGUAGGACUUUCUUUCCCUUCUUUAUUCCCCUCUUUUAUAGGCCAACAGAGCAAAUCUUUCUGUGUAGAAAACCCUCCAUGCCUUGUGGACACAAUAUGUUCUUGUUUAUUGCCUAAAAGUAACAAAAAGGCUUUAUGCAGAUUAAAAAGUCCAAGAUCUAGAAAAACUAACAAUUUCGCACCAAAUUCUGCUAUUGUUCAAGGUUCUAGCUAUAGUUAUUCUACUAGGUUUAAAAUGUGCAUUGUAAGUCUUUGCUGUGAUGAUACUUGGGAGUUUUUUCUUAAAGGUUGAGCAAUUUGAGUAGAUAAAAGUGUAUCAAGGUGUUUGGGGACAGAGAAUGAAUAUUAGCAAUGACAAAUUUGAUUGCAAGAAAUUGAACCACGAUUCAACCUAACUUAGUGAAAAACCACUGGAGUAUCUCCUGGACUCCGAGGACAGAGAGGCAGCUGGAUUUCCAGAACAGAACUACGCUCUGCAGUUCUGUUGGAAAAGUUCCAGGCAAGGGACCAAGUGGCCAAGCUUGAUGAUCAAUUCCACAGAGCCAGCACUAGGACAAUAAACCACAGUAAGCUCCUUGAGGAUGGGCCGUAACUGUUGUGUUCAGCAGUGAACAUCUAGCACACACAGAAGAGUACCUGGCACAGCGGAGGCAGGCUUUGCUGGAGUUGAUCCCCCUGCUUGCAAUAUGGAUUCUUCUCCCACUUGAAGAACUCACUCCUCCUGUCUGCCCUUUUACCAUCCUCUCCAUACAGGAAGCCUUUCUAAACCAACGCCUGGCUGAUCCUUCUCUUCCCUCUCAAAGAACCUGGUUUUUAGUCCAAGAUCUAUUUCUAUUGCACUGCAUGAUGCAGGGCAAAUAACCUCACUCACUUUGGUCUCAGUUUCCUUAUUUCUAAAAUGAAGGGGUUAUAGCAUUUUAUUGAUCUUUAAUUUGUUUUUAGCAGCCAAAUUCUCUUAUUUUAUAAAUAAAGUUAUUUUAUAAAGUC
rnacentral:lncRNA from 1 species